rnacentral:misc_RNA from 1 species
AACGGUCUAUACCUGCGGUACCUGCGGAGGGAUCAUUACCAAAAAACACACAAGUGUAGUGGAUUUGAUGGGAUGCAGCUUAGUAUAUGUGUAUGCAGAAAUGCAUGCGCACGUCUAAGACGGCGCCCAUUUAUUGUUAGGUGUAGUAGUCUCAUCCUCUAGUUUCUAUAUGUACACUAGUGUACAUGGGGCUAGUAGGGUGUUACUACACCUAAUAACUAGAACCAUACUAGUUUAUUU